rnacentral:lncRNA from 1 species
CCCUUAUCAAAUGGCAAAAGCUCAAACACAUCAGACGAAAGUUUCAUAGUCCAGAUAUGAUAAUUUUCUUAUUUAGAAAAUAGUUGCUUUAAACAUUCUGUUCUAUUAAAAUCCAAUUAGCUUAAUGUGCUAUUUUGAUUGUAUAAUACAUUGAACUACAAAAUUAUGUGUUGUUUGUAAUAUCUGUCAUUUCUGUCAUUUUUGCUGGUGUGCUCUAAUUUGUACGUGCUACUUUUUGUGUGUUUUUUUGGGUACAUAUGACGUAGUUAUGUACUUUCAACAUCCCAACAUAUAUGUUAUUGUUUUAUUACAAUAUUGAAAAUACUUUGAACGACAAAAUUAUUUACAUCUCUUCCUGUAAUAUCACACACGUGAGACUCUACUCGAGUUGAUGUGAACCUCGCCAUGCAGUCAUUUGG